rnacentral:ncRNA from 15 species
GUGUAGUAUGAAAGGAGAGACGGUUAGCACUCCCCUAGACAAGGUUGGAAACACAAAUACGGUUGAGCGUCGCACACUCAACCCCAUUUUUUU